rnacentral:rRNA from 1 species
AUUGAACGCUGGCGGCAGGCCUAACACAUGCAAGUCGAGCGGCAGCGGAAAGUAGCUUGCUACUUUGCCGGCGAGCGGCGGACGGGUGAGUAAUGUCUGGGAAACUGCCUGAUGGAGGGGGAUAACUACUGGAAACGGUAGCUAAUACCGCAUAACGUCGCAAGACCAAAGAGGGGGACCUUCGGGCCUCUUGCCAUCAGAUGUGCCCAGAUGGGAUUAGCUAGUAGGUGGGGUAACGGCUCACCUAGGCGACGAUCCCUAGCUGGUCUGAGAGGAUGACCAGCCACACUGGAACUGAGACACGGUCCAGACUCCUACGGGAGGCAGCAGUGGGGAAUAUUGCACAAUGGGCGCAAGUCUAAUGCAGCCAUGCCGCGUGUAUGAAGAAGGCCUUCGGGUUGUAAAGUACUUUCAGCGGGGAGGAAGGUGUUGAGGUUAAUAACCUCAGCAAUUGACGUUACCCGCAGAAGAAGCACCGGCUAACUCCGUGCCAGCAGCCGCGGUAAUACGGAGGGUGCAAGCGUUAAUCGGAAUUACUGGGCGUAAAGCGCACGCAGGCGGUCUGUCAAGUCGGAUGUGAAAUCCCCGGGCUCAACCUGGGAACUGCAUUCGAAACUGGCAGGCUAGAGUCUUGUAGAGGGGGGUAGAAUUCCAGGUGUAGCGGUGAAAUGCGUAGAGAUCUGGAGGAAUACCGGUGGCGAAGGCGGCCCCCUGGACAAAGACUGACGCUCAGGUGCGAAAGCGUGGGGAGCAAACAGG